UACGGGGGGAGCAAGCGUUGUUCGGAUUUACUGGGCGUAAAGGGCGCGUAGGCGGUCAGCACAAGUCAGUUGUGAAAUCUCCGAGCUUAACUCGGAAAGGUCAACUGAUACUGUGCGACUAGAGUGCGGAAGGGGCAACUGGAAUUCUUGGUGUAGCGGUGAAAUGCGUAGAUAUCAAGAGGAACACCGGUGGCGAAGGCGGUUCUCUGGGCCUUACCUGACACUGAGGAGCGAAAGCGUGGGGAGCGAACAGG
rnacentral:rRNA from 1 species